GGUUCUUCCCCUCCUGGCUUCCUCCUCCUCAUCCAAUCCGUUGCGCCGCCAGCCCCAUAUUUCGUGCCUCCGCCGCCUCGGCUUCUCUAGCCAGCAAAAUCGGAUGGGGCUGGCCAACUCCACCGGGAAGAGGCUUCUCCACGGGCGAAGACAUCAAGGCGAUGCGGGAGUUGCGGGAGUUGCUGCCAACUGACGCGAUGUUGGCCAUCGACAAAAGAACGGAGCUGCAGCGCUGGAGGAUGAGGUCGUCAACGCGAUGUGCUUGCUCGAGUUCUUCAAGGAGUACAUUGGCCAGCAGCACAAAUUCCUGGGCUCCUCCAACCCAUCCAACGGUGCACCAUCCAGCCCUCAUCCAUCUUAUCUUUCUCAGGAAUUCUGGAGAGCACUUGUCCGUCUUCUCUCCAUCCUCGAGGCUGAGGAGAUGAGGGUGGAGGAGACAGAGAUGUGAAGCCAGAUGCGUGUCAUGUGACUCUGACAUCCCACAUCUCAGCAACAAUUGCUUUUCUGCUUGAUUGGUGUGUGAUUGAUCCUAGGAAGACCUGUGGAAUACACGGCGCUCUGAGAAUACUUUUUUUUUGUAUGAAUCAUGUCAGAAGGGUGUUGGCUACCAAGUUAGGUGCUUCGUUACAGGGACCUUUAUCAAUUGCAGCACAAAGCUUCUAAGCCUUAUUCACCAUCUUUUUUCUACUGGACUGAGAAUGUUGGCUACCGAGUUAGGUGUUUCAUUACGGGGGCCUUUAUCAAUUGCAGCACAGAGCUUCUAAGCCUUAUUCACCAUACUUUUUCAACUGGAUUGAGGAGUUGCUGAUCAAUAGCACAUGAAACUGGUGGCAUGGCGGAUGCCACAGAUGGAAGGUUCUUCUUAUUUAUCAGCUUGGUUUCGACCAUUUCGUAGGUUCCCUGUUGCAUGGGUGUUUCUCCAGGGGUGGUACAAAUAGCUAUAUUCAUGCAGACAAACAGGGACGACCCAGCUUCUGGGCAGCCCGCGGGAAGAACUUGGAGGACUGGAGGUCCCAGAAUUUCUGCAGAACCUGUGGAUAAAAUUAUUCAGGUGAGAACAAAACAUGGGAGUGCACUAGAUCAAGUAAUAAUACAUUUGAAAUUCGCAAAAACUAAUUUCAUAUUUACUAAUCCUACCAUCGUAACCAUUUUACCUUGUAUCUAAUAUGGUUAAUAUUAGAGUUGUACAUUUUCAAACCAAUGGCAACUUCAUAGACAUGCAGGGAAGAUAAAUAAGAGCUGAUAAAGAAGAGUACCAGGUUUAGUCACUAAAUCCUUAGUGCUUUUGUAUUUUACAAAAAAAUCCUUCAAUAAAAGAAUUGAUAAAAUAUUCAACAUUAUGUUUACUUGCAUUUGGGAUCAAAUCAUGUUCUGGUAAAUCAACAUUUAUCUUCUUUCCAUGCUUUUAUUUUUACUCUUUUUUGGAUUGCAUGCAUGUUGUGGUUCCUACCAAUGGACAUGCUGAGCUGGGAGUUUAAGCCACACCUUUCUUCUACCUAAUGACAGUGACGAGGUGAGCCAUUAGAGUGAGGAUUUUCAUGAAAGAUUAGAGUGAUAGGAAGAGCUCUGGGACUGCAAUAGGAUAGAAGAGAGGGAGCAGAAAGAUCUGGGAUACAUGAUACUUCUGAUGCCAGAACCAUUGAUAAUUCACUUACAGCUGGCCCCUUAGGUCAUCAAUCUCUGACAAAAAGUGAGGCCCUUACGACCUUUAGUCAUUAACUAUUCUUGAUUUACACCUUACAUGCAUGGCCUCUUUCUACCUUUUCUCCUUUUUGUAUUGUGUUGUCACAACUUACAACAAUAGCUAGCUCUUGAUUUGUAAAUCGACUUUUUGGUUCAGGAUUUUCAUGUCGUAGAUGCCCUAUAGGCGGAGAUCGGUACUCUCACCUAUUUACUUAUCGACGCCAUCCUAAGUGUAACAACGAGACACCAGUUACUUUCCAUUAGGAUGCGUCAUCAACUUAUCAUAUCACAAUUCCCAACAAAGAAUCAUUCAUAUCAAUCACAACUGUAAGUAAGAACUGAGCUGAAAUACAAGUGUAGCAGCAGAGGUAGCAGGACAACAGUCAGGAAAGAUAGUAUGUAAUGGUAAAACUGGAGGGUGCAAGGCAAAAAAAUCUGGAAGAACCCCAGUCCUGGAAGACCCUGUAUAGGCCUCUAGAAUCUUCUCAAAAUCUAUCGUCAAAUUCAAACCCACUUGAUAUUAUCCAUUCAAACCCACGUGAUACAUCCGUAAUAAAAUAAUUCAAGGAUCAGAUGCCACAGUUGUGCUGUCCACAACUCCCGAAGAUGAGCAAACACAUUGGCACCUUGUUCUGAUUUCUGAAGACUAACCUUUACUCAGUAAAACAGUUCACUUCUUUAUUUCCCAGUGCCCUUUUGAUGUAAUAUGCUCUUCUUUUUGCAGACUAUAUUUUACUCCUCUGGUCCUAUAGAGGUGACACAUGAUCAAAUCAUAGAAGGCUCUGUGAUGAUCUUCCCAAGCGAGGAGAAUCCACGUUGUUUGAAUAUUCACUUGCAGUGCUCACAAGACUACGGAUGGUGAGGGAUUUUGUGUUGCGAUGAACUUGUGUGAUUCCCCAACAUCAAUCACACCACUUGCAAGAGUCUCUUUCAGCAACCAUGAACCGAAGUCUCUUGUCACCGAUGUUGAGUUUCUUGUGUGUCUCCAGUGUCCACUUAGUCAGUAACAGAACAACAAUAUGGAAGAUGCCUCCGUUUUUCUCUCCUUAUUUUGUUGGCUCUUUUUACAGGAGAUGUAAAAGAGCUGUAGGACUUUUGCAGUUUAAUUAAAAUUACAUUGCAGAAUUCA